rnacentral:rRNA from 1 species
AUUGAACGCUGGCGGCAGGCCUAACACAUGCAAGUCGAGCGGUAACACAGAGAGCUUGCUCUCGGGUGACGAGCGGCGGACGGGUGAGUAAUGUCUGGGAAACUGCCUGAUGGAGGGGGAUAACUACUGGAAACGGUAGCUAAUACCGCAUAAUGUCGCAAGACCAAAGAGGGGGACCUUAGGGCCUCUUGCCAUCGGGAUGUCGCCCAGAUGGGAUUAGCUAGG